rnacentral:lncRNA from 1 species
GGAGCAGGGGUUUUUCUGAUCCUGGAAGGUAGAAAAAGUAGAGCUAGGUUUUAUGUCAAUAAGGAGAAGCACGUCAGGGCAAUUCUUAUCCUUUUGUAACCGUGUAGCUUGGAGGUUGAAAUAGGUUUGUGAAUAGAGCCUGGAAUUGGAAGCCAAGUGGUGGAGUUCAACGAAGGGUAUAAAUCUCUUUUUUGCCUAUAUGUUGUUGGUGUUUUGUUACACAUUGAUCCUGCCUGUUGACCAGAACGCAAGAGUCUUCCCUCAUCAAAUCUGGAUCGACUUUGCACCGUGCUAGCUUCCGUCCUUCGCCUUGAUUCACCUCAAGAACCUGCAAAAGACAGAACGGCGCCGCUGCGGCCGAUCGCGCUCCGACGCCCAAGUCAGCGACUGAACCACCAAAAUACUAAGAGAAAACUAAGACUUCAGGAACCGUGCAAUGUUCUCUCUCAGCGUACUCAAGUUCUCGCAAGCGUAAAAGAAGUAUUCUAAAACCCGCGUAACUCAGAAGUUCGUUAGGAUCCCUUAUAUACCUGCGCACUUUCUCUCUCCUGACAGUUACACAUCUGGACACGUGGCUCGCAUCCAGCUGUACACGUGUCACCAUCUGGAGCAUUCUUGACUUGAGCGUCACCUCUUACUCUUCAGGCUUUUCGACCGAGUUACUUAUGCAGGAAGCAACUCAGCGUGUAGCUGCCUUGGAGCGCGAUCUCUGCUGUGUGGUGAGUACAGGUGUCUUCAUAUACACCUUCCCUGUGGUCUCGCCGGCCGCCAUUAUACUCUACUUUACUUACUUCACUGUGCAUGCUCGGGUAAGCUAUCCCCCGACCUCAACCUCUGGCCAGCUGAGAAACGACUAUCUGACGACUUCAUCCUUUGCUCCGAAAGCCUGGAACAAGCUUUCCUGAUGCUUCGGCGAUGUCCUCCUCUCGGCGAUCUCCGAUCGCCUUAUCACCUGGGUUCACACCCGGCGACUACAACACAAACUUGGUGACCGCCAGUUUAGAUAUGCUAGAGAUCGAGACACGCCAACUUAACGACUGACGAUCACACGAACCCCCCGACGUCCUUCCCUUCUGCCAGCCAGGUGUCCCGUUCAACACGCCUAUACUAUUGCUUGCGGCCACGUCAUCAAUUCCGACUACCUGGACGGUACACACAUCAUGUAGUUAAGGGCCUUUUGCAGCUUCCUGCCAUAUGAUCUAAAGCCUUUUUCUAAGGAUAUUGGUGGUGGCUUGCUUAAGAGGUGGCACGUGUUAAGUUGGUUAGCGGUGCAUGAGAGUUUAUGCAACCACAAUGCAUGAAUCUUUAUGUAGCCAUAAAGAAUGUGGAUGGAAAGGUGCUGGUGUGCGUGUAUUGAGGGAGCCUCCACACAAUGGUCUUAUAGACUAUUUUGAAUUUGGCAGAGAGCUGGUUGUAAAGUUUUUCUUUAGAAACCAAUAGCUUUAGUUUUAUUGGUUAUUGUACAUGGGUUGAGGUACCAGUACCUCCUUUACAAAAAAAAUUAUUUUUUUGAUGAUAAAAAAAAU